rnacentral:lncRNA from 1 species
CCUGGUCAAAUUAGGUUGCAUCUACAAGUUCAGGGGUCUGGUGAUGCACAUCUGAGGCCCAGGCUCCAUACCUUCAACCGCAUUGAGGUUCUGCCAGUCCAGGGUUUCUGGACGCCUUUCUGAAGCCAAUUAUUAGCACUCCAGGUAUUUUCAUUUUUCAUUGCAAUUUUUUCUUUGACCCAUGGUUAAUUCAGAAGUCUUUCAACUGUUGUCAAAGCAUACAUGAUUAUUUAGAAGUUACUUGUUACAAAUUUCUGCCUUUACUACAUUUUGUCAGAGA